rnacentral:rRNA from 1 species
AUACGUAGGUGACAAGCGUUAUCCGGAUUUACUGGGCGUAAAGGGCGUGUAGGCGGUCUUGCAAGUCAGAAGUGAAAUUCCUGAGCUCAACUCGGGCGCUGCUUCUGAAACUGCAGGACUUGAGUGCUGGAGAGGUUAUCGGAAUUCCCGGUGUAGCGGUGAAAUGCGUAGAGAUCGGGAGGAACACCAGUGGCGAAGGCGGGUAACUGGACUGCAACUGACGCUGAGGCGCGAAAGUGUGGGGAGCAAACAGGAUUAGAUACCCUGGUAGUCCACACUGUAAACGAUGAAUGCUAGGUGUAAGAGGUAUCGACCCCUUUUGUGCCGGAGUCAACACAAUAAGCAUUCCGCCUGGGGAGUACGGCCGCAAGGUUGAAACUCAAAUGAAUUGGCGGGG